ensembl:lncRNA
UUUUAUUUUUGCAAAUACGUUCACUUUAUUUGUAUUUUUUACCACAAAAUAAUGAAAUAUGCAGCAUCCCUUAAUUUUUACAUUAAAAAUAGUUAUUACAAUCAAUGAUAUGAGCAUUAUAUGGAUACAAGUAUGAAGUUGCAGUGCAAAGGCUUACAAAAUCUUGAGCAAAAUCAAAUAUAUUACUUUAAAAUUCUUUACCCUAAAUUACAGAGGUGCAAAUGAUCCCUUUGGGCCUCAACCAAUAUCCACAUAAAAUUAGUUCAAACAUAUUUCAUUUAGAUCUAAUAAAACUAUUCAAAAUAAAAAAUCCACCUUGUAUAAACUCACCUUUCCAUGUUAAGACUCCUCCUUACCUGUCCACAAAUAAAAUAUAGGUGAUCAACUAAAUCCUCCGGUCUUUUUACUGACCCUUAUUCCAAUCACAGAGGAGGCUUUACCUCUUCUCUGUGUCUGGUCAGGUCUGGUCAGGUUUGGUCUGGUCAUUAUGCUGGUCAGGUCAGGUCUGGUCAGGUAUGGUCAUUAUGCUGGUCAGGUCAGGUCAGGUCAGGUCAGGUCUGGUCAGGUCUGGUCAGGACAUUAUGCUGGUCAGGUCUGGUCAGGACAUCAUGCUGGUCUGGUCUGGACAUUAUGCUGGUCAGGUCUGGUCAGGUCUGGUCAGGACAUUAUGCUGGUCGGGUCAGGACAUUAUGCUGGCCAGGUCUGGUCAGGACAUUAUGCUGGUCGGGUCAGGACAUUAUGCUGGCCAGGUCUGGUCAGGACAUUAUGCUGGUCAGGUCUGGUCUGGUCAGGUCAGGUCUGGUCAGGACAUUAUGCUGGUCAGGUCUGGUCAGGUCAGGUCAGGUCUGGUCAGGACAUUAUGCUGGUCAGGUCAGGUCUGGUCUGGUCAGGUCUGGUCAGGUCAGGUCUGGUCAGGUUUGGUCAGGACAUUAUGUUGGUCAGGUCUGGUCAGGACAUUAUGCUGGUCAGGUCUGGUCUGGUCAGGUCAGGUCUGGUCAGGUCUGGCCAAGUCUGGUCUGGUCAGGACAUUAUGCUGGUCAGGUCUGGUCAGGACAUUAUGCUGGUCUCGUCUGGACAUUAUGCUGGUCAGGUCUGGUCUGGUCAGGUCAGGUCUGGUCACAACAUUAUGCUGGUCAGGUCAGGUCAGGUCUGGUCAGGUCUGGUCAGGACAUUAUGCUGGUCAGGUCUGGUCUGGUCAGGUCUGGUCUGGUCAGGUCAGGUUGGUCUGGUCAGGUCUGGUCUGGUCUGGUCUGGUCUGGUCUGGUCAGGUCAGGUCUGGUCAGGUCAUGUCUAAAGUCUGGUCAGGUCUGGCCUGGUCUGGUCUGGUCAGGUCUGGUCUGGUCAGGUCUGGUCAGGACAUUAUGCUGGUCUGGUCUGGUCAGGACAUUAUGCUGGUCAGGUCUGGUCAGGUCAGGUCAGGUCAGGUCAGGUCAGGUCAGGUCAGGUCAGGUCUGGAUCUGGUCAGGUCAGGACAUUAUGCUGGUCUGGUCAGGGCAGGUCUGGUUAGGUCUGGACAGGUCAGGUCAGGUCAGGACAUUAUGCAGGUCUGGUCAGUUCUGGUCAGGUCUGGUCAGGUCUGGUCAGGACAUUGAUGCUUGAUCCUUUCACUGCAUUGCCAUUGUAGCCUCAGCAUCUGAAAAUACACAAGACAACAGAAUAAUCUGAUUAGGACAUAGAACAUUUC